rnacentral:rRNA from 1 species
UACGGAGGGUGCAAGCGUUAUCCGGAUUCACUGGGCUUAAAGGGUGCGUAGGUGGGCUGGUAUGUCAGUGGUGAAAUCUCCAGGCUUAACUUGGAAACUGCCAUUGAUACUAUUAAUCUUGAAUGCCGUGGAGGUCAGCGGAAUAUGUCAUGUAGCGGUGAAAUGCUUAGAUAUGACAUAGAACACCAAUUGCGAAGGCAGCUGGCUACACGAAUAUUGACACUGAUGCACGAAAGCGUGGGGAUCAAACAGG